AUCCAGCUGACCAGUCCCAAAUAGGAGAAAACACGCGUCCUGGAU
rnacentral:hammerhead_ribozyme from 1 species